CCUACGGGAGGCUGCAGUGAGGAAUAUUGGUCAAUGGGCGGGAGCCUGAACCAGCCAAGUCGCGUGAGGGAAGACGGUCCUAUGGAUUGUAAACCUCUUUAGGCGGGGAGCAAUGCCGGGCACGUGUGCCAGGAGGGAGAGUACCCUCAGCAUAAGCAUCGGCUAACUCCGUGCCAGCAGCCGCGGUAAUCCGGGGGAUGCGAGCGUUAUCCGGUUUUAUGGGGUUUAAAGGGUGCGUAGGCGGAUUUUUAAGUCAGCGGUAAAAUGUCGGGGCUCAACCCGGGCCGGCCGUUGAAACUGGGGAUCUUGAGUGGGGGAGAAGUAUGUGGAAUGCGUGGUGUAGCGGUGAAAUGCAUAGAUAUCACGCAGAACGCCGAUUGCGAAGGCAGCAUACCGGCGCCCGACUGACGCUGAGGCACGAAAGCGUGGGGAUCGAACAGGAUUAGAUACCCUAGUAGUC
rnacentral:rRNA from 1 species